rnacentral:rRNA from 1 species
GUCAUACGCUCGUCUCAAAGAUUAAGCCAUGCAUGUGUAAGUAUAAAUAGUUAACUUUGAAACUGCGAAUGGCUCAUUAUAUCAGUUAUAGUUUAUUUGAUGAAGAAUACUAAUUGGAUAACCGUAGUAAUUCUAGAGCUAAUACAUGUAUAAAGUCUUGUAGACUGCAUUUAUUAGAAUGAAAACCAUAGGUUUCGGCCUAUUCGUGAGUAAUAAUAACUAAUCAUAUCGUAUGCUUAUGUAACGAUGUGUCUUGCAAGUUUCUGCCCUAUCAGCUUUCGAUGGUAGUGUAUUGGACUACCAUGGCAGUAACGGGUAACGAA